rnacentral:rRNA from 1 species
UACGGAGGGUGCAAACGUUGCUCGGAAUCAUUGGGCGUAAAGCGCACGUAGGCGGUCCGGCAAGUCGGGUGUGAAAGUCCAGGGCUCAACCCUGGAAGGCCGGUGGAAACUGUCGGGCUAGAGUCCGGAAGAGGCGAGUGGAAUUCCCGGUGUAGCGGUGAAAUGCGCAGAUAUCGGGAGGAACACCAAUGGCGAAGGCAGCUCGCUGGGACGGUACUGACGCUGAGACGCGAAAGCGUGGGGAGCAAACAGG